AGAGUAGAAACAAUGCAUCAGCAACCUGGAGGACCGAGUAAUAGAAAGCAAUCAAGCUGAACAGGAGAGAGAAAAAAUAAUAAAAAAUGAAAACAGGCUAAGGGAACUCAUUGACACCAUCAAGCAUGAUAACAUUUGCAUUAUAGGGACCCCAGACAGAGAAGAGAGAUAAAAGGGGGUAGAAAAUUUAUUUAAAGAAAUAAUAGCUGAAAAUUUCCUAAU